GACGAACGCUGGCGGCGUGCUUAACACAUGCAAGUCGAACGCUGAAGCACCAGCUUGCUGGUGUGGAUGAGUGGCGAACGGGUGAGUAAUACGUGAGUAACCUGCCCUUGACUCUGGGAUAAGCCCGGGAAACUGGGUCUAAUACUGGAUGCUACAUGUCACCGCAUGGUGGUGUGUGGAAAGGGUUUACUGGUCUUGGAUGGGCUCACGGCCUAUCAGCUUGUUGGUGAGGUAAUGGCUCACCAAGGCGACGACGGGUAGCCGGCCUGAGAGGGUGACCGGCCACACUGGGACUGAGAGACGGCCCAGACUCCGACGGGAGGCAGCAGUGGGGAAGAUUGCACAAUGGGCGAAAGCCUGAUGCAGCGACGCCGCGUGAGGGAUGACGGCCUUCGGGUUGUAAACCUCUUUCAGCAGGGAAGAAGCCACAAGUGACGGUACCUGCAGAAGAAGCGCCGGCUAACUACGUG
rnacentral:rRNA from 1 species